rnacentral:rRNA from 1 species
UACGUAGGUGGCGAGCGUUAUCCGGAUUUACUGGGCGUAAAGCGUGUGCAGGCGGCCUUACAAGUGGUGUAUGAAAUAUCCAGCUCAACCUGGAGGGGUUAUGCCAGACUGUGAGGCUAGAGUGCGAGAGAGGGGCGUGGAAUUCCGGGUGUAGUGGUGAAAUUCGUAGAUAUUCGGAAGAACACCAGUGGCGAAGGCGACUCGCUGGACAGACAUUGACGCUGAGGUGCGAAAGCGUGGGGAGCAAACAGG